UACGUAGGUGGCAAGCGUUGUCCGGACUUACUGGGCGUAAAGGGCGUGCAGGCGGUCUGUUAAGUCUAGGGUGAAAGCUCCCGGCUCAACUGGGAGAGGUCCUUGGAUACUGGCGGACUUGAGGGAGGCAGAGGAAAGUGGAAUUCCCGGUGUAGUGGUGAUAUGCGUAGAUAUCGGGAGGAACACCAGUGGCGAAGGCGGCUUUCUGGGCCUUACCUGACGCUGAGACGCGAAAGCGUGGGGAGCGAACCGG
rnacentral:rRNA from 1 species